CAUUGGCACUAAAUGAGAUGAAAAAGUGUAUCAAAUUAUUUUUUCUAAUACGAUCGACCAAACGAGCCCUCAUUUUUUGUGCUGCCCCGAAUUUCAGUUAUAAAAAGCCCGGGUUUAUCAAUUUUCGAAAAACGUGAACCUGCAGGGUGAAGUGGAAAGAAAAAUGGAGAGAAAGCGUUUGAAUGCGCAGCCAUUAGCACUCAUUAGGAAAAUCAAAGGAUUUACUCGCUCAAUCUUUGAGGAUCUAGCUCGAGGUAGUGCACCUUUGAUCUACAUUGAUCGGUUCAGAAAUUACUGUACAGACACUUCUGGAAAUUGCUCUGGUUUGCCGGCAGGCAAGGAAGCUAUAUCCUUGAAGAGGGAAUGCCAUGCGCGUAGGCUUGGUAAGUCU